GGUGUUGGAACUCAUCACAAAUGCCUCCCUCAUUCUCUUAGAAUGGCAAUGGUGGUCACCUGAGAGAUGCCAAAACUGAGUUUGAGUGAGUUCCGGCUGGAAAAAAAGCCCUAACUUUACACUUUAAAUGUAUGGUGCGUAGCUUUUUUUAUUGCACCAAACUCCAGCCCUAGUUCAUAGAUCUAAGACAUGAACUUUGAAUAGUAGUCUGAAUAGAAAGUUAUAUUUGGUGGAAGCCGUUGUUGGCUUCAUCCUGAAAAUUCUUCUACUUAAUUUUAAGAAAACAGCAUUGUCAAGGCUUGAUCGCACGUUGUGAUGUCUUCAUUUUAUAUUUGCAGAAGUAUAAAAAAAGUGGGAAAGUGAAAUCUUUAGCAGUAAUUGUCUCCCCGCAACCCCUAUCAAAUCCCCUGGGUUAGAAAUCUUGUUUUUCAUUUCUGCUGGGCUAUCACAUUUUCACUCCUGUCUGUUAAUUCACGUGGCACUUCUUUGCUGCUGCUGCUGUUAUUAUCUGAUUCUAAAUACUAAUACCAACAGAAAAUGGAUCCAUUAUCAAUAUUGGCUCUGUUUUGCAUUCCUUUCAGAGAAGCUGAAAUGAAGCAUCCUUAAUCACUAGUAAUGUCCUAUAAUGCCAACAGAGUUCUGACAGUAGGACUUCAGUGCGUUGAAGAUUCCCACUUUUCAGGACUAGAUGACUCUUGUGGUCCUGGCCAACUCUACAAUUUUAUGCAAACUGUCAAGGAAGAACUAUGCCAUACUGUACAGACUGAAACAUCAGUAAAAUGACCAACCCCAGCACUGUAUAAAAUAGAUUGUGUUGUUAUAUAGUUCCUUCUUAAUGCCUUAUUCAGCUGCAGCUGGGACCUGGCGCAGGCAGGCCAGGAUCAGAAAGGCAAUAGAUGGGGUCAGAAAUGGGCUGCAGGUAGAGUGGCCAGAUGUAAAACAGGGCUUGGCUCCAGCAGCUUUAACACCUGUGCUGAAGAGGGAAUUUCAGCAGAUGCAGCUUGUCUGAGCUCCCCCUCCCCACACACCCUUGCAUUGCAUUGUUUUGUGGUGUUCUUCCAAAUUAUGGGAGGAGCUUCCACAAGUUCCCUGUUGCAGAAGUUUAUGGUUGCAUGUGGAUGGCUGUGGGACUGGCAGCAUGAUAGCAGGGUCACUCCUGCCCUCAUGCAGUGUGGAUUGCAUGAAGAGGAGUAGAAUGGCUUUGUCUGUGGUAAACACAAGGCAUAGCAUGUCUAGAGUUUGGUGUUUUGCUCCUUCCUGUGGUAAAAGUUUGGGCUUCUGUGCUCCUAUCCAACCUGAUUACCUCAUUUUCAUUAGUGAAGAAACCCACAUGAGGAAGUUUCCUUGCACGCUGCGGAAACUGGUGGUCUGCGAGCUAAUUUGGUUUCUGUGACUGCAGAGGCACCUUCUGAUGAGCUUAAUUCUGUAUUUUUCCCCUGCCCUGCACCUGACGAGCGCAUACAGAAAAGCUGAUACAGCUCUUGCUCUCUCCUUCAUCCUGACAUAGGUUUGUAACAUAAACUAUUGUACAGCCCUAGGUCAGAGCUAUCAGUUUUCAAAUCACCAGCUCCUUAGUCAUCACAAUUAUGAAGGCAGAUUUCGUGUUGAUGUUGGUCUAAGCAGUUCUCUUGCAGAUUACUUCUAAGCAACUUCUGUGGGCUGAAGUCCUUCAAGAAUAAUUAACCAAAAGGACAUUACGAAUCAUUAUGUUUUAUAUCUUUUUCAUUACAGGUUUUCUUGGGAUACUAUUGUCACUAAAUGGUGGUUCGUUGCAAAUGGAUCUGAUUUCUGCUGACUUCGCAACCUAUUAUCUAGUGACAGAAGUUAAGGCUUUGAGUGCUGUUGCAGGCAUGGAAGAUUCCCAAGGUUUGAAGAAAUACAAAAAAGGACAAAAAGUAUUAGGGGGGAAAUCCUCAGGAGGGACCCACCCCCCACAGCCCACUAAGCUUGCUCCAUGACUGUGGAAUGCUGACUGACUGUUGGAAGGGACUUUGAAAUGGAGAUGCUGAAAUCCUGAACAGCAGCACUUGCUUGAACACCUGAAGCCAAAUUCGUGGACUGGAGGAUGGGAUGAAGGCAGGAAUGUGCCUGUAAGCCCCACUACACUCUGUGCUUGUGGGUCCUCCUGCUCAUUAUUUGACCUUCCUUAUGUUGUAGUGGUCCCAUCACCUCCUGGCAAAUAGAAGGGGAAGAAAUGGAGGUAGUGAGAGAUUUUACUUUCUUGGGCUCCAUGAUCACUGCAGAUGGUGACAGUAGCCACGAAAUUAAAAGACGCCUGCUUCUUGGGAGAAAAGCAAUGACAAACCUAGACAGCAUCUUAAAAAGUAGAGACAUCACCUUGCUAA